rnacentral:rRNA from 1 species
AUUGAACGCUGGCGGCAGGCCUAACACAUGCAAGUCGAACGGUCCCCUUCCCUCGCUUGCUGCUUCGCUUUCUAGUUUUGGUCGGGUGAGUAAUGUCUGGGAAACUGCCUGAUGGAGGGUUUGAACUACUGGAAACGGUAGCUAAUACUUCAUAACGUCGCAAGACCAAAGAGGGGGACCUUCGGGCCUCUUGCCAUCGGAUGUGCCCAGAUGGGAGUAGCUAGUAGGUGGGGUAACGGCUCACCCAGGCGACGAUCCCUAGCUGGUCUGAAGGGGUGACCAGCGACACGGGAGCUGAGACACGGUCCAGACUCCUACGAGAGGCAGCAGGGGGGAAUAUUGCACAAUGGGCGCAAGCCUGAUGCAGCCAUGCCGCGUGUAUGAAGAAGGCCUUAGGGUUGUAAAGUACUUUCAGCGGGGAGGAAGGCGAUAAGGUUAAUAACCUUGUCGAUUGACGGUACCCGCAGAAGAAGCACCGGCUAACUCCGUGCCAGCAGCCGCGGUAA